UACGUAGGGGGCAAGCGUUGUCCGGAUUUAUUGGGCGUAAAGAGCGUGUAGGCGGCCAGGUAGGUCCGCUGUGAAAUCUCGAGGCUCAACUUCGAGCUGUCGGUGGAAACUGUCUGGCUAGAGUCCGGAAGAGGAGAAUGGAAUUCCUGGUGUAGCGGUGAAAUGCGCAGAUAUCAGGAAGAACACCCGUGGCGAAGGCGGUUCUCUGGGACGGUACUGACGCUGAGACACGAAAGCCAGGGGAGCAAACGGG
rnacentral:rRNA from 1 species